GGUGCCCACCACCCCACCCGGCUAAUUUUUUGUAUUUUUAGUAGAGACGGGAUUUCACAGUGUUAGCCAGGAUGGUCUUGCUCUCCUGACCUCGUGAUCCGCCCACCUCGGCCUCCCAAAGUGCUGGGAUUACAGGCUUGAGCCACUGCGCCCAGCCUUUUUUUUUUUUUUUUCAGAUGGAGUCUCGCUUUGUCACCCAGGAUGGAGUGCAGAGUGGCGUGAUCUCGGCUCGCUGCAGCCUCUGCCUCCUGGGUUCAAGCAAUUAUCUUGCCUCAGACUACUGAGUAGCUGGGAGUAAAGGUACCUGCCACCAUGCCCGGCUAAUUUUUUUUUUGUAUUUUUAGUAGAGACAUUUACUGCUAUAAAGUUCUCUUAAACACUAACUAUAUUACACGAAUUUUAAUAAGUUACAUUUCUGUUUUCAUUCAGUAAAAACUUGUUUUCUGAUUUUCCCUGAGACCUCAUCUUUGCCCCACAGAUUAUUUAGAAGUGUGUUUAGUUUUCUUGAAUCCCUCUUCCAACCUGUAUUAUUGGGUCAUUUCAUCUCUUCAGCUCUUAUUUUCCUCAUCUGUGAAAUAGUUACACCAUACUUAAAGGUUUGUCAUCAGGAAUAAAUAAAGUAAUAUCUGUAAAGUAUUUAACAGUGUCCAGAAAAUCAGUGGACAAUGUUGGCCAGUCUUGUCUUGAACUCCUGACCUCAUGAUUCACCGGCCUCAGCCUCUCAAAGUGCUGGGAUUCCAGGCAUGAGCCACCACACUUGGCCUGAGUGAUAUUUUUAUACAAUUAAUUCAUUUACUCAACAUACAUUUAUUUAUUUAUUUGAGACAGAGUCUCACUCUUUCGUCCAGGCUGGAGUGCCAUGGCACAAUCUUGGCUGACUGCAACCUCUGCUUCCUGGGUUCAAGUGAUUCUCCUGCCUCAGCCUCCCAAGUAACUGGGAUUACACCAUACCUAGCUAAUUUUUUGUAUUUUUAGUAGAGAUGGGGUUUCGCCAC
rnacentral:lncRNA from 1 species